AGAGCGCCUGAGUCAAAGAUGAAAUCAUAAAUCAUAAUACUUGUUGCGGGUGUGCGAAUACAGUUCAAUCGUAAGGGCUGUAUCUUAACGGAAAUAUUUUACUUCUUGUUUUCAGUUUCGAUUUUUGGAUACUAGGAUACUCGGUGUAAGAUUGAUGUCUGAUUAAUUGAGAAGUGCAGUGAGUUCGCUUAUCGUUACUGUUUGGUAGUUAAAUUCUUUCGUCUUAUCGGAAUACAAGAUUCGUAAACAUCAUAAUUUUACAUGUAGUAGGAAGGCUGCUAAUGGUUCACGGAGGAGGAUAUUGUAUUUAGCAUCGGCUAAAAAUUUAUAACGGUCUUGAAUACACGUCUGGAAACGAUCCUAAUCUUCAGAUGGUGAGGGAGGCCCUCAUUUUGAGGCCAACUUGAUAGUUUCAUCAAUGGCCACGCGGAUCACCACGUAUGCAAGGUUUUCGGCGGGCAAGUGGGCCCAGGUGGGCCUGGGAGCGUAGGAGGUUUCUGCUCUAUCGACUCUACCUAACGGUCUUGUACCGACAUUCGUAGCAGCGUAGUAGUGUCGGUAUGGAAGCUUGAGAUUGAGACGGGGACGCAACGAGGAGGUCAACUAACAUUGCCCCGCAUACGUCGAUCAGCUCGAUCAUCCCCGUAAGGAGACGCGAAACCGCGACUUGGUCGAUCAGCAAAAAUAACUGAAAUUCGGAAUCAGGAAGGGGGGGGAUUUAUAUUUUAUAUUAUAAUUAAUAACUCCUAUCAAUGUAGCUAAUUCCAAUUUUAAAUCGCGAAUAUCUCGAGAACGGUGAUGAAUACGGCAAAAAUAGCAAUAAUUCGGGGUCAAGUGGUGGGGGACAUUCAUUUUUAAUAUUAUAAUUAAUAACUCCUAUUAAUUUAGCUAAUUACAAUCUUGAAUCGCGAAUAUCUCGAGAACGGUGAUAGAUACGGAAAAAAUAGCGAAAAUUCGCGAUCACCUGGAAGGGGGACAUAACUUUUUCUAUUAUAAUUAACAAUUCCUAAUAAUUUAGAAAACUCCUAAGGUGCAAAUUCACCAAUAUUGUCGGGAAAUGGAAAAAUUACUCGGAAGUCUCUGCUUAAAUAUGUGAAAAACAAAACAGAACAUUUGGAUUAAUUC